AGCUCUCACCUCCCCCACGUCAAAGAACAAAGAACGUCUAGAGCGCCGGGUCCCUGAGGAAGGCUGAGCUGUCAGGGCACCGACCUGCCCGCGUCUGCAGGUUCUCCUUCCAUUUCUUCUUCCCCCUCCCCGAACUGCAGCGAGCCCCCCCACCUCCCGCGCCCGGAAUCCGCGCUGCGUCAGUCGGAGCCUCGAGGGGAGAAAGAAGGCUUUGGAGUAGGGCCGAGGGGCGACGGGGGGGGGGGGGUCCUUGAUGGGGUCACCCAGAGACCGCUGCCACAGUAAAGCAAUCCGGACUGGAGGGGGGGCGUCCUGGCAAAGAAGCAGCCCAGGGGUGCUGGCGUGCUCCUCGUGGGACCCGGUGGCGCGGGGCACCCGUGGGCUCUGUCUGCCCAGGGCCCCGCCUACGGGCCACCCUGCCCCCAGGGCCCUUAUACGUGCCCUGACCCGCAUCCCUUGGGUCUCUAGGGCGGCCCGGAUAGCAUCUUCCUGCGCGUUUUCGUGGUUCCAGACGGCGAGGGUCGAACUCUUUCACUGUCCUGACAAGCGCUGCCUCCAGACGCGGGCUGGGGGUCCACCCUGGCUCCUGACGCUAGGGCUGGGGAGAAAGCUAGCUGUCUAUUACCCGGAAGUCAGAGUUCUGGGUGAUUAAGGGUAAACAGGAAGCCCGCACCAGUGACGGGGUCCCAGGAAGACCCCGAGGCCGCGGGCGGGCCUCACUCUUCCCUCCUGUUCCCGAAGCCCAGUGGGGGGAGCACGUGGGGUUCCUUACCAGCGGCGGGGCUGACAGAAGGUUCACGAAUAGCACUGUGGGGACGAUGCAGACAAACCCACAGCAGUACGACGGCACGUGAAAUAACCAGACGAAGAUUAACAGGAAGCCCUGUGCAAACCAAGUGUUACCUUCGGAGGUGGCCUCAGAUGCGAAGGUGUCCCUCCCCACCCCCCACCCCCACGUUCCCCUUGCCGGCUCCCUGCAUUUCACGGGGGAAGCUGUCCCCUCUCGGCGUCAGCCGCCAGCCCCCACGCCCACGACGAUGCCCAAGGACCACGGCCUCCCCCAGACUCGCCUCACCUACAGCUCUGCUGACUUUUCCACCUAAACCCCACGGCACCGAGCUCCACCUCCCAGAGCCCCGGGUUGGAUAAAGGACACCGGGAGCCCACAGGAAGGCUCCCCGUCUGCCCGUCCGGCGGCCUCACGCGUGGCCUCCGCUCCAAAUUCCCCCCUGACCUCAGGCCACAGCACGGCCGCUCCUCUGCCUCCUCCGGAGCCCCUCCCCGCCCGAAUCCGCCUUCGCCCCCCCUGCACGACUCUGCCCAAAGGCCGUCGAGCAGUCACUUCAGCCACCCCGAGGAAACGCAGCCCAGGCCCGCACAGCUUGGCGGGCUGCCCUCCGCUGGAGGAGCCUUCCCCACGCUGGCCGCCCCCCGCCAGGCUGGACUCCGGCAGGCGGGGCCCACGCUGUCUGUGGCUCUUCCCACACGGCGGCAUCCUCCCUGCACCCUGCGGGGACCCGGGCUGAUCCUUCAAGACCCUGCCGGCACCGCCCAGGUCGCCGUCACCCGCGCAGACUCGUCACAGAGCCGUGUCCCCCGGCACACCGCGGGACCGAGACUGUUCGGCGGUGAGAAGGAUCUGAGGCGACUUUGAUCGAAACUUCACAAAGACUGAUUUCCCGGGAGUCCCGGAUUAGUUGAGAGCCAGAGGCUUAAAAUUAUACAUUCACUCAUUCAAUCAAUCAGCAAAUAUUUAUUCAGCUCUGCGUGCUGGGAACAGGUUCAGUCCGCGCGGGCCACGAAUUUGCACGUAGGAGUCCACGCGGGCCGUGAACUUGCACGUCCAGCCCCACCCAGACCACCUCGGGGCCCCAGCUGUGCCUGUGGACCACAGGCCCCGGAAGUGAGCUCAAAUGCUUACACGUGGUCCCAGGAGGAAGGCGGGGCAGGGGAAGCCAGUAUCCUGGGCUGAGAAGCCGCGUUCUUCCCGGCCCCGCGUCACAUCCCUGCUCCAACCCUAAGUACACUCUUCAAAGUUGCCAUUCCAUCCAGGUUGAAAACUUGAACGUGGGCCUCCAGGAGCGGUGUGGCGGCCCUGACCGCCACCCCGCCCUGGCACCCAGGGAGAGGCAGUCGGCUUCUCCAGGACUCACACUCGUCACCGUAUACAGGAGGUUGAACUGGAUGCCGCCAGAGAGCUUCCUGGCUCUGGAGUUCUGGAAUCCUGACGCCCUGGUUCACGCAAGAACACGGAGGAAGACCGUCCAGGGAAGGCAAGGGCACUUCCGAGCCUCUCAUCUUAAAGGAAACCGCCAGAAGCAAAGGCUCGGGACACAGCCCUGUGAGCGCCUGGCCAGGGCACGCGAGGCCUCCGCUGGAGGCCCCAAGGACGCUCACUGGCGGCUUUGCUCUUGGUGUUGCUGGCGGACGCACACGGACACUCCUGUGAGACUGCGCAGUGGUUCACAGGGCCAGGCUGCCACGGGGCUGUGUGGAGAAACGAAGCAGGGGGACGAGUCUGGGGGCCGUGGGGGCAAGAAGGCCUCUCUGGGGAAGGGUCCAGGCGGCGACUGGAGACCGGGGAGAGCUUCCCAGCCCGAGGUGGGAGUACGGGGCGGUCCCGGUGGGCCAGCGUGGCUGUCGGGGCGCGGGGCCGGGACGGCCGAGUGGCCGGUGGGGCGGGGUGGGUGCUGGGCCACGUGCCCGUGCAGAGCAGCCCUGACGGACAGAGACAGGGCAGUGAGGUCGGGGCGCCUCACACUGUGGGGCCCCCACGAGCGCAGCGAGCCUGGCCUCGGCCCCCCGAGCAGCCCGCGCUUCUCCAGCAGCCCGCCUUCUGCCCACGAGACGUCACCUCUGGCAGGUACCGGUGCUCAGGGCCCCUGGCCGCGGCCUUGACACACUUCCAGGGUUCUUCCCAGCUCAUCCGCUGCCCCGGUGCCCUGGACUGGAGAUUCAGCAUCUGCGUGUUGAUCCUGAGCAGGGUGCUGGGGCGCGUCAGGAAAUGACAGAUCGGGAGUCAUCUUUUUUCUUAAAGAAUACGCCGUUUUUAUGAGGCCGGUGUUGGCUGGCGUGAGCACUGGGCUGAGACAUCACAAAGAAAGAAAUCUGCAGAGAAAUACCGCUUACAAAUACGGAGGCACAAAUUCUCAGCGAAACCCCGGCAGACUGACCCCAGCAGGAUAUACAGUAAGAAUUAUACCCCAGGACCAAGGGGGAUUUAUCCCAAGGACGGUCUGGAAACAGCGCAUCAGAUCCCAAGAAAACUAUUUUUUAAUGUUAGAUGCGAGCUUUUAACACGUUGAGCGCACCACACCUGGCCGCGUGGGGUGACACGCCGUGUCCGGGGCUGCCGGGGUGGCUACGAGAGCGGGGCGGGGAAACACAGACAUGCCCCUCCCGCCGCGAGGUCUGGAGCCGCGGCCCGAGGUCGGCUGUCAGCCGGGCAGAGGCCCCCGGGGCUCUGGCGGAGGGUCCCUCCUUCCCUCCCCUGGCCUUUGUUGCCUGCUGCCGCCCUUGGUGUCAGCUUGUGUACAUGCCGCCCCAGCUGCUGCACCCGCCGUGACCUGGUGCCCCCGUGCGUCCCUAUGUGUCCCUGUCCCUCCUCCUCUAAGGGUGCCAGCCGCUGGACUUCGGGCCUCAGCCACUACGAGCUCACCUUAACUUGACGGCAUCUGCAAAGGCCCUAUUUCCAAAUAAGGUCAAUACACAGGCCUAGAGGUUAGGACUUAAACGUGUGUUUCGGGGGCACAUAAUUCAACCCCCGAGAGGCUGCGAGAGUCGGCCUUUUCCAACGCGUUUCACUGACUUCGCCUUCUUUGGCUGCAGAAGCACAGCUGGGCAACUGUGUCACCUUGAAGGGCCCCGCUGACCCUACUGGUUUAUGGUCCUCACCGUUUCCUGUACUAUUUGCUGUGUUUCAAUCGGUUUAUUUUAUAUUUAAGUUUU